UAUGUGAUCGUCUCUCGCAUAUCAAUAAGCGGAGGAAAAGAAACUAACAAGGAUUCCCCUAGUAACGGCGAGUGAAGCGGGAAGAGCUCAAAUUUGAAUCUUAAAGGGUUUCCCUUUACGAAUUGUAGUUUAAAGAAGUGUUUUCUGUUGAGGUUUUGGUAAAAGUUCUUUGGAAUAGGACAUCAUAGAGGGUGAGAGUCCCGUAUUUGACCUUUACUUUCAACUUUGUGAUACACUUUCAAAGAGUCGGAUUGUUUGGGAAUGCAGUCCAAAAUGGGUGGUAAAUUUCAUCUAAAGCUAAAUAUUGGCGAGAGACCGAUAGCGAACAAGUACCGUGAGGGAAAGAUGAAAAGAACUUUGAAAAGAGAGUUAAACAGUAUGUGAGAUUGUCAAAAGGGAAGCGUUUGACACCAGUGUUGUUUUUCUGAAAAUCAAUUAAAGAACUGUUUAUGCUAAGCUGUUUAGACUUUAUCAGCUAAUCUGUUUAGUUUUGAGCUUUUCUUUAAUGCACUUUUCAGUUAACAAGUCAACAUCAAUUUCUUUUGCUGUAAAAAAGCUUGAGGAAGGUGGCUUGAGAUUCGUCUUAAGUGUUUAUAGGCCUCUUGCCUAUGCAGUCGGAGAGAUUGAGGUCUGCAGCGUAGAUCCUUCGGGGCUAAAUGCAUUUGUGCUAAGUUAUAGCAUUUUAUAGACAACUUGUUGACUAUGAUUUGUCUUGUAGCUUACUCGCUUAUGUUAUUUUACCUACGCUUAGGAUGUUGAGCGCAUGUCUCUCUCUC
rnacentral:rRNA from 1 species